rnacentral:rRNA from 1 species
AUGGAGGCGGCUGUCGGCGCGGCGAGCUCGCUCCUCGGGAAGGUGCUCACGAAGCUGUCUGAGGACCUGGUGGCCGCGUAUGUUGACAGCCUCGAGCUCGGCCACAAUUCCCAGCAAAUCAAAACUAGGCUGCUGCACACACAAGGGCUGCUGCAAGUGGCCGAGGGGAGGGACGUGAGCAACGUCACUGCCCUGCAGGCCUUGUUGGAGGAGCUGAGCAAGAAGGCCGAUGAGGCGGAGGACGCGCUGCAUGAGCUCCACUACUUCAAGAUCCAGGACCAGCUUGACGGCACCCACUAUGCGGUGCCGGAUCUGGGCGAUGGCCUCCGUGGCCAUGCUCGCCAUGGUCUCCAUGCUCUUCGCUACACUAUCGGUAACUGGUUUCCAUGCUUUUCUUGCUCUCGUACGCAAGAUGAUGCUUCUGCUCCUACUCCUGUUGCCAAUAGCCUACACUACACAACCAACUCUGCUACUGCUAGUGCUGAUGAUGGUGGCCAUGUCGAUAAGUUACAUUUCAACAGAGUGGCCAUGUCCAGCAAAAUCAAGUCAGUAAUAAAUGACAUACACUCCCUAAGUGACCCCGUCUCUGAUUUGCUCAGCAAAAUUCCAAGCAACAGCACAGCUGUCACCUUAAAACGGCCUCACAUAGGAUCAACAAUUAUACAGGAUACAUUGCAUGGGAGGAGAGACAUUUUUGAGAAAAUUGUUGAUGAUAUCACAAGUGGCACACAUCACGGUAAAACCGUUUCUGUUCUUCCUAUAGUUGGCCCGGGGGGUAUUGGAAAGACAACUUUCACCCAACACCUGUACAAUGAUAGUAGGCCUGAAGAGCACUUCACUGUUAUGGUUUGGGUAUGUGUAUCAACUGAUUUUGAUGUGUUGAAGCUCACCCAACAGAUCCAUAACUGCAUACCUGCAACUGAAAGCGAAACUGCAAUUGAAACAACCAAUCUAGAUCGGCUUCAGAAAUCCAUUGCACAGAGACUCAAGUCCAAAAGAUUUUUAGUUGUCUUGGAUGAUAUAUGGAAAUGCAAUAGUGAUGACGAGUGGAAAACCUUGCUAGCUCCGUUCACAAAGGGGGAAGCCAAAGGCAGCAUGAUACUUGUCACAACUCGAUUCCCCAAAAUAGCAGGAAUGAUGAAAACUGUUGAUCCAGUAGAACUUCAAGGCUUGGAGUCUAAUGACUUCUUCACAUUCUUUGAAGCAUGUAUAUUUGGUGAACAUAAACCUAGGGAUUAUGAAGAUGAGUUAGAUGGUAUUGCAAGAGAAAUUGCAAGCAAGUUAAAGGGCUCCCCACUAGCAGCCAAAACAGUUGGUCAACUAUUGAAGAAAAAUCUUUCCUGGGAACAUUGGAAUGAAGUUCUUCACAAUCGCGAGUGGCGAAACCAGAAAAGUGAUAAUGAUAUUAUACCAUCUUUGAAAAUUAGCUACUAUUAUCUCCCUUUCUAUAUGAAAAAAUGCUUCUCAUAUUGUGCCCUUUUUCCUGAAGAUUAUAGGUUUAGCAAUUCCGAAAUUAAUCAUUUUUGUAUUGCAAUAGGCAUCAUAGACUCUAGCUACCCAAGAGAUAAGAAUUACAUGGAAGGUCUAGUGGAAAAUGGUUUUCUCAUGAAGGGGGUUUACGAAAAAUCACCUUUUGAUGAAUACUAUGUAAUGCAUGAUUUAAUGCAUGAGCUAUCUCGGAGUGUCUCUGCACAAGAAUGCCUCAAUAUAAGUGAUCUAGAUUUUAGAGCCGAGGCCAUCCCACAAUCUAUUCGGCACAUAUCCAUCACCAUAGAGAAUAGAUAUGAUGAAAAAUUUAGGGAAGAAAUGGGUAAACUGAAGGGAAGGAUAGACACUGUAAAUCUACGGACAUUGAUGGUUUUUAGAGAAUAUGAAGAAAGAACCACUGAGAUCUUAAAAGAUACGUUUAAGGAAACAAAUGGCCUGCGUGUCCUAUUUACAGCAGUGGAGUCCCUUGAAUCUCUGCCACAAAGCUUUUCAAAACUUAUCCACCUCCAGUACCUCCAAAUUAGAUCACCCUACGAAACAGAAAUGGCUUUACCUAGCGCACUAUCCAGAUUUUAUCAUUUGAAAUUCUUGGACCUAAGUAGGUGGUAUGGCAGUUCUAAUUUGCCUAAAGACAUUAGCCGCCUUGUGAAUUUACGCGAUCUCCUCGCUGAAAAAGAACUCCACUCCAAUGUUCCAGAGGUUGGAAAGAUGAAGUAUUUACAUGAGCUAAAAGAAUUCCAUGUUAAGAAAGAAAGUGUUGGAUUUGAUUUGAGAGAGUUGGGGGAAUUGAGAGAGCUUGGGGGGACACUCAGUAUACAUAAUCUUGAAAAUGUGGCAACCAAGGACGAGGCUAGUGGCGCCAAAUUGAUGUUGAAAAUGGAUUUGAAAGAGUUGACAUUAGUUUGGGACGGAGAGUUGCCGAGUGAUAUAGAUGCUCAUAUUCUUGAUGCUCUUCAACCACACUCUAACCUUACAGCACUUGGCAUUAUAAAUCAUGGUGGUACCACUUAUCCUAGUUGGUUGUGUCCUGAGAUAUUGGUGAAAAAUUUAGAGACUCUCCAUUUACACGGCGUGUCUUGGGGAGCUCUUCCACCUUUUGGGCAGCUACCAUAUCUCAGGGAACUCAGCUUGAAGAGCAUUUCUGGAGUGGUUCAGAUUGGUCCGGACUAUGGUGGUGUUACAGGCAAAUGUCUUAUGCAGUUGAAGAAUGUUGUGUUCCAUGACUUGUCAGAACUUGUUGAGUGGGUUGUGGAACCUAAUUGCCAUAUGUUUCCAAGUCUUGAAAGCAUCGAUUGCAGUAAUUGUCCCAAUCUAUGCGUGGUGCCCUUCUCGGAGUGCUCCUGUACCAGUUUGUGCAGGCUUCGCAUUGAUGAUUGCCCCAAGUUGUGUCUGCCCCCCAUGCCUCACACCUCCACACUAACAGAUAUUGCUGUUGAAAAUGGUUCAGAAAGGUUGUUUUCCUAUGGAAAAAAUUUGGUUGUUGCCGGUGCUUUGGCCUUCCACAAUCUGGGUGAAGUUGAGAGUCUCAGUAUAGAUGUAUGUCAUCUUACUGGAAAUUUUUUGUCAAAGGUGUUCAGUAGUUUCCCGACUCUUGCUGAAUUGGAGAUAAGGUUUUCAUCUGAAAAUUCUGAAGACGAUGAGGAACGAGUAAUACAGUUCCCAUCAUCUAGCUCACUGCAGACACUUAGCUUCUGGAUGUCGAAUGGCUUGGUUCUUCUGCCUGCCGAGGAUGGAGGAGGAAUCCAGGACAUCACGUCGCUACAAUCAUUAAAAAUAAUGUAUUGCAACAAUUUGUUCUCUCGGUGGCCCAUGGGAAAAGCAGGAGGAGCUCCCAUGACCAACCCUUUCCCUGCUUCCCUCAGGAAACUUCAUAUUGAGGGAGAGUCAGGCAUGCGGUCAAUGGCUCUGCUCUCAAACCUCACCUCUCUCACACAUCUAAGGCUAAUAGGCUGCGAGAAUUUGAUGGUGGAUGGGUUCAAUCCUCUUAUCACAGUCAACCUCAAGGAAUUGGAGGUCCGGAACAACUUGUUCCAGACCAAAUCUGUAGCAGCGGAUCUGCUCUCAGAGGUGGCAAGGACCAAAUCAAUGCAUGCGGGUUCCUUACAAUUGAGGAAGCUGGAGGUGGAUAGCAUCUCGGCGGUGUUUGUUGCUCCCAUUUGCAGCCACCUCUCCGCUACCCUCCACGAACUGCAAUUCCAUGAUGAUAAGCGGGCAAAAAGCUUCACGGAAGAGCAAGAGCAUGCGCUUCAGCUCCUUACCUCCCUCCAGACACUAGGAUUUAAUCAUUGCAAGGUUCGGCAGUCCCUCCCUCAGGGAUUACAUCACCUUUCUUCUCUCAAAGAAUUAGAAGUCAGCAGUUGUCCUGAACUCCCAUGGCUGCCAGAGCAGGGCUUCCCCACUUCGCUGCAAGUUCUACGUCUAUGGUUUGGCAGUGCAGAGCAAAAACAGCAAGCUGAGAAAUUUAAAAAAACAUACCCAAGUUUACGAGUAGAUUGUGCUUUUUAG